rfam:Moorella thermoacetica ATCC 39073, complete genome.
UCCAUCGCGAGGUAGGACCCGAAGGAAGCUAAAGGCAAAGGCCUGUGGAACAAGAACCUCAUACUAAGCUAAAGCGUCCGGAUGAGCUGGCACAACACAGCGAAAUCCAAGAUUGCAAAGGAACGGUGGAGCAUAGGGGGCGGGCGGCGAAGAUUAGC